GACGAACGCUGGCGGCGUGCCUAAUACAUGCAAGUAGAACGCUGAGGACUGGUGCUUGCACCGGUCCAAGGAGUUGCGAACGGGUGAGUAACGCGUAGGUAACCUACCUCAUAGCGGGGGAUAACUAUUGGAAACGAUAGCUAAUACCGCAUAAAAGUGUUUAACCCAUGUUAAACAUUUAAAAGGUGCAAUUGCAUCACUAUGAGAUGGACCUGCGUUGUAUUAGCUAGUUGGUGAGGUAACGGCUCACCAAGGCGACGAUACAUAGCCGACCUGAGAGGGUGAUCGGCCACACUGGGACUGAGACACGGCCCAGACUCCUACGGGAGGCAGCAGUAGGGAAUCUUCGGCAAUGGACGGAAGUCUGACCGAGCAACGCCGCGUGAGUGAAGAAGGUUUUCGGAUCGUAAAGCUCUGUUGUUAGAGAAGAAUGAUGGUGGGAGUGGAAAAUCCACCAUGUGACGGUAACUAACCAGAAAGGGACGGCUAACUACGUGCCAGCAGCCGCGGUAAUACGUAGGUCCCGAGCGUUGUCCGGAUUUAUUGGGCGUAAAGCGAGCGCAGGCGGUUCUUUAAGUCUGAAGUUAAAGGCAGUGGCUCAACCAUUGUACGCUUUGGAAACUGGAGAACUUGAGUGCAGAAGGGGAGAGUGGAAUUCCAUGUGUAGCGGUGAAAUGCGUAGAUAUAUGGAGGAACACCGGUGGCGAAAGCGGCUCUCUGGUCUGUAACUGACGCUGAGGCUCGAAAGCGUGGGGAGCAAACAGG
rnacentral:rRNA from 1 species